rnacentral:hammerhead_ribozyme from 1 species
GUAUUGCUGAAGAGUCCCAAACUAAGACGAAACAGCUGUCCAGUAC